CAGGUUGGCCGGGUGAUUGCGGCCAGCUUGCUGGCUGAGGAAAGUCCGCACUCCAUAGAGCACGGCGCCGGCUAACGGCCGGGCGGGGAAACCCGACGGCAAGUGCAACAGAGAGGUUUAUUGCCUGUUUUGGGCAUAGCCCGGCACAGGUGAGGGUGAAACGGUGGUGUAAGAGACCACCGGCAGUGGUCGUAAUGCCACUGGCCAGGCAAACCCCGCCGGGAGCAAGACCAAGCAGGGUGGAAGGUGUGUAUUCACCUACGGGGCAGCUCGUUCCGUCUGACAUCCGGGUAGGUUGCAUGAGGGUGGCAGUAAUGCUACUCCCAGAUAGAUGAUCACCAGCAUUUGGUUCUGACCAGAUGUUACAGAAUGCGGCUUAUAGGCUGACCUGGCAA
rnacentral:RNase_P_RNA from 1 species